rnacentral:rRNA from 1 species
GACGAACGCUGGCGGCGUGCUUAACACAUGCAAGUCGAACGGAAAGGCCCUGCUUUUGUGGGGUGCUCGAGUGGCGAACGGGUGAGUAACACGUGAGUAACCUGCCCUUGACUUUGGGAUAACUUCAGGAAACUGGGGCUAAUACCGGAUAGGAGCUCCUGCUGCAUGGUGGGGGUUGGAAAUUUUCGGCGGUUGGGGAUGGACUCGCGGCUUAGCAGCUUGUUGGUGGGGUAGUGGCUUACCAAGGCUUUGACGGGUAGCCGGCCUGGGAGGGUGACCGGCCACAUUGGGACUGAGAUACGGCCCAGACUCCUACGGGAGGCAGCAGUGGGGAAUAUUGCACAAUGGGCGGAAGCCUGAUGCAGCAACGCCGCGUGCGGGAUGACGGCCUUCGGGUUGUAAACCGCUUUCGCCUGUGACGAAGCGUGAGUGACGGUAAUGGGUAAAGAAGCACCGGCUAACUACGUG